UACGUAGGGUGCGAGCGUUGUCCGGAAUUAUUGGGCGUAAAGGGCUCGUAGGCGGUCUGUUGCGUCGGGAGUGAAAACUCAGGGCUUAACCCUGAGCCUGCUUCCGAUACGGGCAGACUAGAGGUAUGCAGGGGAGAACGGAAUUCCUGGUGUAGCGGUGGAAUGCGCAGAUAUCAGGAGGAACACCAAUAGCGAAGGCAGCUCGCUGGGACGUUACUGACACUGAGGCGCGAAAGCGUGGGGAGCGAACAGG
rnacentral:rRNA from 1 species